CCAUAUAUGGCCUACCGCAAUGGUAUGAACGCGAGUGUUGCAAAAUUAUGUUGCAUUAGAGGCACUAAUCCAUAUCUACCGCAACGAUAACCAUUUAUGUUCAUUUCAUGUUGCAAUAGGCGAAUAUAUGUGUUGCAUUGAAUAUUAGUAAAAUAAUUAUUUAUAAUAUGAUAAUAAAAUUUAGAUAAAAUAAAUCUAAAAUAAUUUUUAAUGAUUAAUUGAUAGAUUAUAAUCUAUUUAACAUGAAAACACUAAAUUCUAAAAAAAUUUAAUUCUAAUAAAAUUAGUAAAUUCGAAACUAAUUAAUCAUGUAAUAAUAUUAAAAUUGAAUUUCUUUUCAGAUAUUAAAUUUAUUAAAUAAUUAUAAUUUUUAAUAGUUAAAACUGGAAAUGCAAAUAAAUUAUUAAAAACUAAUAAUAACUAUCAAAUGAUUGGUUUAAUAUUUAACAAAAAAUGUUAAAUAAUUGACAAAAUUAUUUUAGGCGGGCUCAAAAUAUUUGCACCAAGGUAGGCGGGCUUGAAAUUUUUUGUCCAAAUAGAAGCGGAAAAUAUAUUUGGAACAUAAGUCCGUAUUCACAGUGUCUCACACAGUCUUACACGCAUCUUCUUUUACACCAUCUCUUUCUUACUCCUCUCUCUGCUGGUCUCUCAGCUAGGUCUGAAAUAGGGUUGAUCUCAUGGGAUUUUGGUGGAAUUGGAGCAAAAAUCUCUCAAGUCGCCAAGAUUUGAAUCAAAUUUGAGGCUUAUUCAACUAGCUUUGCUUUGUGUUCCUCCUGCGUUUUUUGGAUCUGCGUUUCGUAAACUUAAAGGACUCCAUUUAUCUUUGUUUUGUUAUUAUUAAAAUGGAUAUAUGUGUAUGUAUGUACGAAUACACACAUAUAUAUGAUUUUAUGAUUUUGUAUGUAUUGUUCAUACCGUGCAGAUCAUCAUCGAGGCUGCACAUAUUCGGGCUAAAUGACAAGGACUCGCCACUUAAAAGAAGGGGGAAAUGAGGCGCACGAGGUUGCUGAGAAGUGAGCUAUUUGAAUCUGAUUUUAGUUCUGCCUGACUUUGCUGAAGUGUAUAGCUUUAUUGGUAGUGUUUUCGAUCCAAAUACAAAAGAUCAUGUGCAAAAACUUAAAGAAAUGGUUCCAAUUGAUGUUGAAACGGCAAUGUGUGCAAGAAAGAAAAAAUGGAAGUCAAACCAAGUAUUGGCAGGUAUGUGAAACCAUGGCAUGUCUCAACUGAAAAGACAACCAUUGAGAUAACGGGAAUGGACAGACCAGGUCUGAUUUUCUCAAAUUGCAGCUGCUCUAGUUGAUAUGGAUUGCAAUAUGUCUGCUGCAGUGGCAUGGACACAUAACACUAGAGUAGGAUAAAAUAAAAUAGCACUACAUAGUGUCUGCUAGAUAGAAUAAUAGUACUUUGAUUUGGUUGGAUUUGUUAGAUAGUUUGGUUUGGUUGGAUUUGUUAUUAACUUUUGUUUGUAUGAAAUAAUAGUUUAAUGUUGCA